UACGAAGGGGGCUAGCGUUGUUCGGAAUUACUGGGCGUAAAGGGCGCGUAGGCGGCGUGUCAAGUCAGGCGUGAAAGCCCCGGGCUCAACCUGGGAAUCGCGCUUGAGACUGAGGGACUUGAGUUCGGGAGAGGAGAGCGGAAUUCCCAGUGUAGAGGUGAAAUGCGUAGAUAUCAAGAGGAACACCAGUGGCGAAGGCGAGUCCCUGGACGAUACCUGACACUGAGGCAUGAAAGCCAAGGGAGCAAACAGG
rnacentral:rRNA from 1 species